UCUGUCACUGACACCGCUGGCCCGCCUUCGUCGUCAACCUUCAGCCGGACUCCCACCCGUGCACGAAACUGCAACGAGCCCGAUCCAAACCACGCGUGAAUCACGCGAUCCCUAACCCCCUCCAAAUCCGUGUACAACAGGAGACUCCUCUCGCUCCUCUCAUCCGAUUCCAACACCUAGUGCUCCAGCUCUGCCUCGAUUACAAGCUCCCGAUCUCGCCGGAGUUCCGCCGCUGCUGACCUCCGCCAUCAUCGUUUCUGUCGCCAAAGAGGGAGGGCACCAAACCGAGCGCAUAUACCUCGACCCAAACAUCACCGCCGACGCUGGAGCUCCAACGCUAUUGCAUUGCCACCAGGGGACGCUCCCAUCGCCGUUGAUGACACCAUCUUCACCUCAGUUGUACGCCUCGACAGCCGUCACCUCGCCUUCGCCGGAGAACCGCCGGAGGAGCGCCGCCGCCCACGACCGAGGCCGCCGCUGUCCUCCCAUGUACACGAUUGCUCGGAGCGUGAUGAGUAGAAUUGUCAGGAUUGUGAGUGCGACGAACUUCAUCUAAUAUACCAGG